AUUGAACGCUGGCGGCGUGCCUAAUACAUGCAAGUCGAGCGAAUGGAUUAAGAGCUUGCUCUUAUGAAGUUAGCGGCGGACGGGUGAGUAACACGUGGGUAACCUGCCCAUAAGACUGGGAUAACUCCGGGAAACCGGGGCUAAUACCGGAUAACAUUUUGAACCGCAUGGUUCGAAAUUGAAAGGCGGCUUCGGCUGUCACUUAUGGAUGGACCCGCGUCGCAUUAGCUAGUUGGUGAGGUAACGGCUCACCAAGGCAACGAUGCGUAGCCGGCCUGAGAGGGUGGUCGGCCAAACUGGGACUGAGACACGGCCCAGACUCCUACGGGAGGCAGCAGUAGGGAAUCUUCCGCAAUGGACGAAAGUCUGACGGAGCAACGCCGCGUGAGUGAUGAAGGCUUUCGGGUCGUAAAACUCUGCUGUUAGGGAAGAACAAGUGCUAGUUGAAUAAGCUGGCACCUUGACGGUACCUAACCAGAAAGCCACGGCUAACUACGUGCCAGCAGCCGCGGUAA
rnacentral:rRNA from 1 species